UUCCGUUACUUGAAACAGCAUGUGAUUGUGCUGAAUCGGGCAACAAAAAAAUGGGACUUCUGACCGGAAGUCCCGAACAGUUUCAAACUGUCAUUUGGUUCGCUAUUACCCCGGCUUGCGAGGUUUGAGCGAGAGGCGAAAGCUUUUUGUUUGAGUCGCGUGAGUUGGUUAAGCAAACAACAAUUGAAGGGUUUGAUCCUGGCUCAGAAUGAACGUUGGCGGCGUGGAUUAGGCAUGCAAGUCGAGCGGAAAGGCCCGCAAGGGCACUCGAGCGGCGUAAGGGGACAGUAAUGUGUAGGUACGUACCCCUGGGUCUAGGAUAGCUGCGGGAAACUGCAAUUAAUACUAGAUGAUGUCUCCGGACCAAAGGUGUGAUUCCACCCAGGGGAGCGGCCUACAUCCUAUUAGCUAGUUGGUGAGGUGACGGCUCACCAAGGCGAAGAUGGGUAGCAGGUGUGAGAGCACGACCUGCGUCACGUGGGACUGAGACACUGCCCAGACACUACGGUGC
rnacentral:rRNA from 1 species